CUAAAGAAGUUACUUAUGUAUGGUCAGAAUAUAUAUAAGAUUUGCCUACCAAAACCCAAGGCUAAGUCAAGUCACUGUUAUUACCCAUUAGUAUAUUUUAUUCUAAUAUAUACAUAUAAAAAGAUAAAUUAUAGACAUACUGUAUAACAAAGAAUACAAGAUAUCGUUUAGAAUACAAAUAUAUACAAGAAAUAGUGAUAUUUAAUUAUCUUGGGUUCUGCUUGUUGGUUUAUGAUACUUUUUCCCUGACUUUAUAUCAGAGAAAAGCCCAUGCGUCUCGUAGGUUACUGUUCGAUGGGUGACGACUAUUAUCAUAUUACAACAUAUAGGCUAACAUAACACUUGCAGAACUAGUAUGGUUCGAUGCUGAAUUAAUAUAAACGAGUAUGUUUAUGACAUUCAGUAUAUAGUUCAUAAUUUCCAGUCUUAUCCGUCUGACCGUGUAGCUCAGUUGGUAGAGCGUCGAUCUAGUAAUUCGAAGGUCGCGGGUUCAAGACCCAGCCGCGCCAGACAAUAUCUUUCUGCUUGGCCAGUUGCGCUGGGUAUGGAAAUUAUGAAAUACACACUCGAGAACAUUUUCAACUUUUCAACUUAGUGCAUAAUCCCACUGCUGUGUGAUGCAUUCUGCGUCCUUGUCCUCGAACGUAAAUUUGUCAAUGCACUCCAAAAUUUCCUUACAGCAUCUAUAUUUUCUAGCGUCCUGCAAUAAUUCGUCGCUACAGUGUCCACAUGAGCACCUUAAAAUAAACUCGCAUAUCAGACGAAACAGGGUAAUAAAUAGUCGAGGAACGGGUUAAUAUAAUAUUACUUUUAUAACUUUACUUACCAUGAAUUAACAGCUAUACAUUUUUCUUAAAUCUCGCCUCAAGAGUUUCACGAAGAAUGCCGUCUUCGUCUGUUUGAUCUUCCUCGUAGUCACUAUAUGCGACUAGCUCAAAUUGAUAUGGCUGAACAACAGACGAUUGUUCAGCGAUGUCCUCAUUAUCUGUUGACCCUUCUGUCUCUGUAUGUGAUUCAAAGCUUUCGUUAUCGCACAUUUUUAUAGCGAAAUAUAAAGGCAACUGUCUGAUGUUCGUGUUAUUUUGUUGUUUUCGUAUAGUGAAACACUUCGGCGUGUCAUACUGCAUACGUCACAAGGCCCGGAACUCUAGGUACCAGUCUUUCGCCAGUAGAUAGUCGAAAAAGCGAACUUUAAUCGUAAAAUUAACAAACUUCUGGUUCAAAUUUUUCAACAAGGUUUGUAUUUUUAUGAUCGCAAAAGACCAAAUUUUCAGAAAAUGCAAAAAAACCGAUAUCGAAAUUUUCAUUUCAUAUACACUUUAAUAAAGGGUGAUGAACGAAAUCGUGGGCGAUGGAAAAUUGGCAUCGUAGACAAGCUGAUAAAGGGCAGAGACGGAAUUGUGAGAGCAGUACGAUUGCGAGCUGGUAAGUCGUUCCUGGAACGUGCCAUACAACAGUUGUAUCCGAUGGAGUUAUCGUGCGACAGAGCAAGCCAGAAGAAACUGGAUGCAACAGUUAAAGAAUUCACACCAAAACGACGUGCAGCAAAGAUAGCGAAAGAGAACAUUCGUCUAUUUGCUGAAGAAGAAGAGGAAGAACAUUAGCAUGGAACAUUUAGCAGUUAUGGGUUAAUACUGAACAGUUACGUCCGUAUUAGGACUAUUAUGACGUUGAAGUUGACUUUAUCAUAUAACCGUAAAUAUAUUUACCUUUGGACUAGCCAAAGUAUUAAAUAGGGGGAGAGUGGGGGAAAGUGUAGGGAUAUAGACGGACAAGUGAUAAUUCAAGUUGAUAUCUAGAGAUAGAGACGGACAGGACAUUAUAAAUGUGGAUAUGUAGGGAUAAAUAUGGUUAGUAGGGUUAUAAAAACACGUGUGAGAAUCCAAGAUGGCGGAACGUUGUUGUUUUUCGAGAGCAUUUAUUUAGUAUAAAAUUAGCAUGUUUUAGAUAUUAAAAAGGAAUAGA